rnacentral:rRNA from 1 species
GCUAAAAAUCUAGCUUAAACACACAAAUUAACACAACAAUAUACAAAAAUUUUACUAGACCAAAACUGUAAAAAUAAAACAUUCUCCCGCCCCAGUAUGAGUGACAGAAAAGGCUACAUAAGCCAUAAAAUAGUACCGCAAGGGAAAGAUGAAAAAGAAAAUGAAAUAAACCAUUCAAGCCCAAAAAAGCAGAGAUUAGCCCUCGUACCUUUUGCAUCAUGAUUUAGCCAGCCAUCUUGAGCAAAGAGUACUUUAGUUCAUUACCCCGAAACUAGGUGAGCUACCCCGAGACAGCCUACUAAGGGCCAACCCAUCUCUGUGGCAAAAGAGUGGGAAGAUCUCCGGGUAGGGGUGACAGACCUACCGAACCUAGUUAUAGCUGGUUGCCUAAGAAAUGAAUAGAAGUUCAGCCUCGCCCUCCCCAACUCACAAAAAGUUACUACUAACCCAAGAGCUCGAGAAACAAGCGAGAGUUAGUCAGAGGGGGUACAGCCCCUCUGAAAAGGGAUACAACCCUACCAGGAGGUUAAAGAUUAUAUUAAAUAAGAUUACUGCCCCAGUGGGCCUAAAAGCAGCCACCUACAUAGAAAGCGUUAAAGCUCAAGCAGACUAUAAAUCCAUUAUUAUAAUAAUCUUAUCCUAAACCCCUAACAAUAUUAGGCCGCUCUAUGCAAACAUAGAAGUGAUACUGCUAAAAUGAGUAAUAAGAAGGCACCCCCUUCUCCCGGCCCACGUGUAAACUAGAACGGACCCACCACUAGCUAUUAACGAACCCACCCAAAGAGGGUAAUAUGACCAUAAAAACAACCAGGAAAAAAUCAUAAAACACCAUCGUUAACCCCACACCGGAGGGCCCACAAGGAAAGACUAAAAGAUGAGGAAGGAACUCGGCAAACACAAGCCUCGCCUGUUUACCAAAAACAUCGCCUCCCGCAAGAAAUACAUGGGAGGUCUUACCUGCCCAGUGACUACAAGUUAAACGGCCGCGGUAUUUUGACCGUGCAAAGGUAGCGCAAUCACUUGUCUUUUAAUUGAAGACCCGUAUGAAUGGUGAAACGAGGGCUUAACUGUCUCCCUUUUCUAGUCAAUGAAAUUGAUCUACCCGUGCAGAAGCGGGUCUAACGAUACAAGACGAGAAGACCCUUUGGAGCUUAAGAUAAAAACCAACUAUGUUAAUAAUCGAAUAAGACUAAACCAAAUAGCCCUGGUCCAUAUCUUCGGUUGGGGCGACCACGGGAGAAAACAAAGCUCCCAUGAGGAUAGGGAACAACCCUAAAGCCAAGAAAGACAUUUCUAAGACGCAGAACAUCUGACCAAUUUGAUCCGGCCAUCCCGCCGACCAACGAACCAAGUUACCCUAGGGAUAACAGCGCAAUCCCCUUUCAGAGUCCAUAUCGACAAGGGGGUUUACGACCUCGAUGUUGGAUCAGGACAUCCUAAUGGUGCAGCCGCUAUUAAGGGUUCGUUUGUUCAACGAUUAAAGUCCUACGUGAUCUGAGUUCAGACCGGAGUAAUCCAGGUCAGUUUCUAUCUGUAAUGCUAUUUUUCCUAGUACGAAAGGACCGGAAAAAUGAGGCCCAUAUUCAAAAUACGCCUCCCCCUAACUUAGUGAAAACAACUAAACUAAGUAAAAGCAAAGCGCAACACAAGUCAAGACAAGACUUU